rnacentral:rRNA from 1 species
UACGUAGGGGGCAAGCGUUGUCCGGAUUUAUUGGGCGUAAAGAGCGUGUAGGCGGCCUGGUAGGUCAGCUGUGAAAACUCGAGGCUCAACCUCGAGACGUCGGUUGAAACCACCUGGCUAGAGUCCGGAAGAGGAGUGUGGAAUUCCCGGUGUAGCGGUGGAAUGCGCAGAUAUCGGGAGGAACACCCGUGGCGAAGGCGGCACUCUGGGACGGUACUGACGCUGAGACGCGAAAGCGUGGGGAGCGAACAGG